rnacentral:rRNA from 1 species
UUCCGUAGGGNNACCUGCGGAGGGAUCAUUACUGAGUACUACACUCUCUACCCUUUGUGAACUAUUAUACCUGUUGCUUCGGCGGCGCCCGCAAGGGUGCCCGCCGGUCUCAUCAGAAUCUCUGUUUUCGAACCCGACGAUACUUCUGAGUGUUCUUAGCGAACUGUCAAAACUUUUAACAACGGAUCUCUUGGCUCCAGCAUCGAUGAAGAACGCAGCGAAACGCGAUAUGUAAUGUGAAUUGCAGAAUUCAGUGAAUCAUCGAAUCUUUGAACGCACAUGGCGCCUUCCAGUAUCCUGGGAGGCAUGCCUGUCCGAGCGUCGUUUCAACCCUCGAGCCCCUGUGGCCCGGCGUUGGGGAUCUGCCACGGCAGGCCCCUAAAACCAGUGGCGGACCCGAAGGGCCCUCUCCUUUGCGCAGUAGCAUUCGCCUCGCAUUGGGAGUCCUCGGCGUCCUGCCUCUAAACCCCCCACAAGUCCGCUUCGGCGGCACCAAGGUUGACCUCGGAUCAGGUAGGAAUACCCGCUGAACUUAAGCAUAUCAAAANCCGGAGGAA